ensembl:lncRNA LYRM4-AS1 LYRM4 antisense RNA 1
AGAUAUAGAGUGUGAGAGAGAAGAGUGGAGGCUGGUUCUCAGGCUCCAGAAGCAUAAGCCUGCAUGGAGCAUAGCGUCACUGAGCAAGACAGGUGUGGAGGAUGAGAAGCGGGCCACAGGAUGGGAAGGGAAUCUGUGUGGAGGCGGUGCCCUAAACAUGCUGCCUUGAGGAGGGACCUCUACAUGGGGUGGCCGGGCACAGCCAGAUGUCCCUGGAGACAGCGCCAUCUGGUGGAACUUCCUGUAACGAUCGAGAUGUUCCGUCUGUGCCGUCCAACAUGGGAGCCAUGCAGGACACAUGGUGACUGAGCACUGGGACUGUGUGCCGCGUGACCAAGAGCAGCUCAGCUCUAAAGUCUCCUCCAGCUUUAUGAUGUCACUUCCUGUAUCUUCUCUACACAUUCUUUCCUUCAGCCUGUUGUUUUUUGCCUUCACCUCUAACGGGUCACAAUUUACCUUUUCUAGGCUACCCAUGGGGACCUCAACAGCUUUGCCAUUGCACACUAUCUUUGCAGACAAGAUCUUAAUCACAUCCAACUUUCUGCAGUUGCACAGGGUACCUCAGACCCACAUCCCAGAUGACAUUCCUCAGAAGCUCGCAGCUGGAGAUGACAUCACCUUAGACAACAUCACCCUAGCCCAAGACAUCGCUAUUAGAGAUACAUCACCUGGACACUAAAGCCUCCAACCCAGUGACACUCUCAAGGUGCUGACAAAAUGGACAUGGACAUUUGUUGCUUUUCUUCUUUUGAAUUAGGAACUCUAUUGUGUUUCCUGAAUUUACUGUCUGCUUGGCCCAUGAUCCUGGUAUGUUCCUUGCUCUCUGCCAAAACAUGCACCGUCCCCUCCACACCUAAAGGAAAACCUGGUAGAAGCUACUACUCUCAAUGCCAUUCUAAAAUUGACGAAGAGUAUUAUUUUCCCCAAGAGGCAGCUGCUGCAGGCCAGUGAAUCCUCUGGACCCUGGGGAGAGGGUCAUACACUCCCUAGUGACUUCUACUGUAUGCUCCAGCUUUCCACCAGGACCUCCUGCCCUGUCCCCAACUGUAACGACCACAACCACCCCAUCCCCUUGGUUACACACAAAUAUCACCAGUCUUUACAUGUACUUUACUGACUUCUCAGAUAAUACCCUCCAACAAGAUAACUGCAGGACUUGCCACCAUGACCUGAGAAAUACACCAAGAUAUUAUUGUC